rnacentral:rRNA from 1 species
ACCGAGUACUAUAACUCAUAACCCUUUGUGAACCUUCAUACCUGUUGCUUCGGCGGCGCGCCUCCGGGCGUGCCCGCCGGUAUCAUCAGAAUCUCUGUUCGAACCCGACGAUACUUCUGAGUGUUCUAAGCGAACUGUUAAAACUUUCAACAACGGAUCUCUUGGCUCCAGCAUCGAUGAAGAACGCAGCGAAACGCGAUAUGUAAUGUGAAUUGCAGAAUUCAGUGAAUCAUCGAAUCUUUGAACGCACAUGGCGCCUUCCAGUAUCCUGGGAGGCAUGCCUGUCCGAGCGUCGUUUCAACCCUCGAGCCCCCGUGGCCCGGCGUUGGGGACCUGCCCAGGCAGUCCCCGAAAACCAGUGGCGGACCCGUUACAGGCCCUUCCCUUGCGUAGUAGCAUUCGCCUCGCAUCGGGAGCCGGCGGGCUUCCAGCCUCUAAACCCCCAUCAAGUCCGCCCCGGCGGCACCAAGGUUGACCUCGGAUCAGGUAGGAAUACCCGC